rnacentral:rRNA from 1 species
CCUACGGGAGGCAGCAGUGGGGAAUCUUGCGCAAUGGGCGAAAGCCUGACGCAGCCAUGCCGCGUGAAUGAUGAAGGUCUUAGGAUUGUAAAAUUCUUUCACCGGGGACGAUAAUGACGGUACCCGGAGAAGAAGCCCCGGCUAACUUCGUGCCAGCAGCCGCGGUAAUACGAAGGGGGCUAGCGUUGCUCGGAAUUACUGGGCGUAAAGGGAGCGUAGGCGGAUAGUUUAGUCAGAGGUGAAAGCCCAGGGCUCAACCUUGGAAUUGCCUUUGAUACUGGCUAUCUUGAGUACGGAAGAGGUAUGUGGAACUCCGAGUGUAGAGGUGAAAUUCGUAGAUAUUCGGAAGAACACCAGUGGCGAAGGCGACAUACUGGUCCGUUAACUGACGCUGAGGCUCGAAAGCGUGGGGAGCAAACAGGAUUAGAUACCCUGGUAGUCCACGCUGUAAACGAUGAGUGCUAGUUGUCGGCAUGCAUGNAUGUGGUGACGCAGCUAACGACAUAAGUACACUCCGCCGUCGGGGAGGUACGGUCGGCGAAGAAGUUAAAACUAACAAAGAAAGUUAGUAGGCGUUGAGACGUUGCCGACGGACGACACGAGGGGAGGAGG